rnacentral:rRNA from 1 species
AGUGAACGCUGGCGGCGUGCCUAAUACAUGCAAGUCGAACGAAGUGGCGCGCGGGUGAGUAAAAUAUGUUUAAUCUGCCCUACACAGAGGGGCAACAGUUGGGAACGACUGCUAAUACCUCGUAGUUGAGGAUGAUACUAUAUCGUAUCAGCUAGUUGGUAAGGUAAUGGCUGACCAAGGCUAUGACGCGUAACUGGUCGGAGAGGAUGAGCAGUAACAUUGGAACUGAGACACGGUCCAAACUCCUACGGGAGGCAGCAGUAAGGAAUAUUGCUCAAUGGGGGAAACCCUGACGCAGCAACGCCGCGUGGAGGAUGACACUUUUCGGAGCGUAAACUCCUUUUAUCAGGAAAGCGGUACCUGAUGAAUAAGCACCGGCUAACUCCGUGCCAGCAGCCGCGGUAAUUC